AACGAACGCUGGCGGCAGGCUUAACACAUGCAAGUCGAGCGCCCCGCAAGGGGAGCGGCAGACGGGUGAGUAACGCGUGGGAAUCUACCUUUUGCUACGGAAUAACGCAGGGAAACUUGUGCUAAUACCGUAUGUGUCCUUCGGGAGAAAGAUUUAUCGGCAAGAGAUGAGCCCGCGUUGGAUUAGCUAGUUGGUGGGGUAAAGGCCUACCAAGGCGACGAUCCAUAGCUGGUCUGAGAGGGUGAUCAGCCACAUUGGGACUGAGACACGGCCCAAACUCCUACGGGAGGCAGCAGUGGGGAAUAUUGGACAAUGGGCGCAAGCCUGAUCCAGCCAUGCCGCGUGAGUGAUGAAGGCCCUAGGGUUGUAAAGCUCCUUCACCGGAGAAGAUAAUGACGGUAUCCGGAGAAGAAGCCCCGGCUAACUUCGUGCCAGCAGCCGCGGUAA
rnacentral:rRNA from 2 species